CAGAUCGUCACGUUAAAACGCUGGAAAAUGAUAAAUGGGAGGCAGGGAGCAUGUGUGCAGAAAGGGAAGGAGCUGUCGGAGCACAGGUGUUUGGAUGCACCUCAGCUUUAUAAAUGAUCCCAACUGCUAAGCGCUAUCUAUAAUAAUAAUCGUCACCUGUCCCCAAUUCGGGCAAGAAGCAGAGCUUUCCUCUGGAAACGUAGCCUGAAUUCUGCUCACAUACAACAUACACAUCACAUGUUUCGAUGUGCAGUUCCAAAAAGCACCAUUAUCACAUUAAUCACUAUAAGAGAGGAAAGCUUUAACCCUUUCAGGGUCAGGAGAGAACAAACAUGCACAUGUGCAGAUUUUACAAUGUGCAAUUCGCUGAUUGGUUUUAUCCCAAUUUUUGUCCUGGUGUCGUUUACCUGCGUACCUGGGAAUCCUCAAUAUUUAACCCUCUGCUUCCAGGCAUGACAACAUCUGCGCCAUCAUACAUUUCCCAAAGAAUCAAUCUAUCUAUGUACACUGAGCAGCUCCAACAUUAAAGCCACCUUGCUAAUAUUAGUUAUACUGUUGCAUCGAGACUCCAUGGACUCCACAAGACCUCUGAAUGUGUACUGUGGUAUCUGGCACCAAGACAUUAGCAGCAGAUACUUUAAGUCCUGCAAGUUUCGAGGUGCACACUCCAUGGAUCAGAUUUGUUGUUCCAGCACACCUCACAGAUGCUCAAUCAGAUUAAGAUCUGGGGCAUUUGGAGGCCAAGGCAACAUCUUGGACUCUUUGUCAUGUUUCUUAAACCAUUCCUGAGCAAUGUUUGCAG